rnacentral:rRNA from 1 species
GACGAACGCUGGCGGCGUGCUUAACACAUGCAAGUCGAACGGGUCUGCCCUGUUUUUUGCGGGGUGGGUCAGUGGCGAACGGGUGAGUAACACGUGAGUAACCUGCCCCUCACUUCUGGAUAACCGCUUGAAAGGGUGGCUAAUACGGGGUGUUCUGGCUGUGCCGCAUGGUGUGGCUGGGAAAGAUUCACUUUUGUGGUGUUUUGGUGGGGGAUGGGCUCGCGGCCUAUCAGCUUGGUGGUGGGGUGAUGGCCUGCCAAGGCUUUGACGGGUAGCCGGCCUGAGAGGGUGGGCGGUCACACUGGGACUGAGAUACGGCCCAGACUCCUGCGGGAGGCAGCAGUGGGGGGUAUUGCACAAUGGGCGGAAGCCUGAUGCAGCGACGUCGCGUGAGGGAUGGAGGCCUUCGGGUUGUGAACCUCUUUCGCCGGUGAAGAAGGUCCUGCUCUUUGUGGUGGGGUUGACGGUAGCCGGGUUAUGAAGCGCCGGCUAACUACGUG